UACGGAGGGAGCUAGCGUUGUUCGGAAUUACUGGGCGUAAAGCGCACGUAGGCGGCUUUGUAAGUUAGAGGUGAAAGCCCGGGGCUCAACUCCGGAACUGCCUUUAAAACUGCAUCGCUUGAAUCCAGGAGAGGUGAGUGGAAUUCCGAGUGUAGAGGUGAAAUUCGUAGAUAUUCGGAAGAACACCAGUGGCGAAGGCGGCUCACUGGACUGGUAUUGACGCUGAGGUGCGAAAGCGUGGGGAGCAAACAGG
rnacentral:rRNA from 1 species